GUGGUUUCCGACCGCAAGUGCACCUCUCACUGCACCGAGGACGUCAUUCCACGUAAAGGAGAGGUUCACAAUUUUUCAGGCAGUCAUGAAUAUCACAGUAACAGCAAGACUGGUGAUCGUGUUGAUAAAGGAGACAAUGACGAUGGUGAGGAUGAUGCCAUCGAUGGUGGAAAAGAGCAAAAACUCUGAGCAAAAGUGCUGUGAACAACUGACACCAGUAAGCACCUGAAGUCCAGCCCGGGAUCCUGCUUUGACUAGCCAGACCGGCGGAGCCGAAGAGAUGGAGGUUGGGGUAGAGGAGGAAGAGA